UACAGAGGGUGCGAGCGUUGUUCGGAAUUACUGGGCGUAAAGGGCGCGUAGGCGGCGCGAUAAGUUGGGCGUGAAAGGCCCGGGCUCAACCCGGGGACUGCGCUUGAUACUGUCGCGCUGUGAGUCCGGGAGAGGAUGGCGGAAUUCCCAGUGUAGAGGUGAAAUUCGUAGAUAUUGGGAAGAACACCGGUGGCGAAGGCGGGUCUCUGGGCCGAAAUUGACGCUGAGGAGCGAAAGCGUGGGGAGCAAACAGG
rnacentral:rRNA from 1 species